rnacentral:rRNA from 1 species
AUUGAACGCUGGCGGCAUGCCUUACACAUGUAAGUCGAACGGUAACAGGUCUUCGGAUGCUGACGAGUGGCGAACGGGUGAGUAAUACAUCGGAACGUGCCUAGUAGUGGGGGAUAACUACUCGAAAGAGUGGCUAAUACCGCAUGAGAUCUACGGAUGAAAGCAGGGGAUCGCAAGACCUUGUGCUACUAGAGCGGCCGAUGGCAGAUUAGGUAGUUGGUGGGAUAAAAGCUUACCAAGCCGACGAUCUGUAGCUGGUCUGAGAGGACGAUCAGCCACACUGGGACUGAGACACGGUCCAGACUCCUACGGGAGUCAGCAGUGGGGAAUUUUGGACAAUGGGCGCAAGCCUGAUCCAGCAAUGCCGCGUGCAGGAUGAAGGCCUUCGGGUUGUAAACUGCUUUUGUACGGAACGAAAAGCCCCGGGUUAAUACCCUGGGGUCAUGACGGUACCGUAAGAAUAAGCACCGGCUAACUACGUGCCAGCCGCCGCGGUAA